UACGUAGGGGGCAAGCGUUGUCCGGAUUUAUUGGGCGUAAAGAGCGUGUAGGCGGCCAAGCAGGUCCGCUGUGAAAACUCGAGGCUCAACCUCGAGACGUCGGUGGAAACCGUUUGGCUAGAGUCCGGAAGAGGAGAGUGGAAUUCCCGGUGUAGCGGUGAAAUGCGCAGAUAUCGGGAGGAACACCAAUGGCGAGGGCAGCUCGCUGGGACGUUACUGACGCUGAGACGCGAAAGCGUGGGGAGCAAACAGG
rnacentral:rRNA from 1 species